AUACUUACCUGGACGGGGUCAAUGGGUGAUCAGCAAGGCCCAUGGCUUAGGAAGGUGGUCUCUAUUGCACUUAGGUGGUGCACCCUUCUAAGGUCUGCCCAACAGGCAGAGCCUACGUCAUAAUUUGUGGCAGUGGGGGCCUGCGUUCGCGCGGCCCUGUC